rnacentral:rRNA from 1 species
AUUGAACGCUGGCGGCAGGCCUAACACAUGCAAGUCGAGCGGUGGAGAGGUGCUUGCAUCUCUUGAGAGCGGCGGACGGGUGAGUAAUGCCUAGGAAUCUGCCUAGUGGUGGGGGAUAACGUUCGGAAACGGACGCUAAUACCGCAUACGUCCUACGGGAGAAAGCAGGGGACCUUCGGGCCUUGCGCUAUCAGAUGAGCCUAGGUCGGAUUAGCUAGUUGGUGGGUAUGGCUCACAAGGCGACGAUCCGUAACUGGUCUGAGAGGAUGAUCAGUCACACUGGAACUGAGACACGGUCCAGACUCCGUACGGGGAGCAGCGAG